AUGGCGAGCAGCGGCGAGGUGCACAGAUCGCUGCAGGCGGUGGCGCAGAGGCUGCGCUGGACGUACGCCAUCCUCUGGCAGCUCUGCCCCGACCAAGGCGCGCUGGUUUGGGCGGAGGGCCACUACAACGGCGCCAUCAAGACGCGCAAGACGGUGCAGCCGGCCGUCGCCCAGGCGCAGGCGCCGGCGCCGGCGGCGGAGGCAGCCGACCAGGCCCGGAGCCGGCAGCUGCGGGAGCUGUUCGACUCGCUGGCCAGGGAGGCUGCCGCGGGCGGCGGGACAGGCUUCAGGGACGUCCACGGCUGCGCCCAGGAGGCUCGGCGGCCCAGCGCGGCGCUGGCGCCGGAAGACCUGACGGAGACGGAGUGGUUCUAUCUCAUGUCUGCCUCCUACUCCUUCCCUCCCGGCGUCGGGUUACCUGGAAGGGCCUUUGCAAGGGGCGGGCACGUAUGGCUUAGUAGAGCAAAUGAAGUUGACAGCAAGGCAUUCUCAAGAGCAAUACUUGCCAGGAGUGCAGGAAUCAAGACGGUCGUAUGCAUUCCAAUUAUCGACGGCGUCAUGGAAAUCGGUACCACAGAAAAGGUGGAGGAAGACAUGGGUUUGGUCCAGUAUGCAAUGGCCAUCUUCAUGGAUCAACAAGAAACCCACAUGAUCCCCAGCAUCUGCCAUUCCAACCAAACCAGUCACAUUGAUCAACAGUCACUCCAAACACACACUGGUCAGACAAAGCCGGAGCCAAACAAGUUUGACACAGAGUACGAGGAUGAUGAGAUGGAGUACGACGACGACGACGAGAUCGAUGCGGGGUGCACAUCGGGUUCAGCGAGCCAUGAUGAUCAUGCAACACAUAAUGCAGGGAGCAGCGAGCUGAUGCAGGUUGAGAUGUCGGAGAGGGUGAGAGAUGGCUGCUCAAGCAACCUUGGCGAUGAGAUCCAGAUGCUGAUGGUCUGCCAGAACGGUACUAGUGACCAUUCCAAUUUGCAUGGGCAAGAUGAGGCCUGGCAUUUUCUAUAUGAGGAGCUAUGCAGUGGCUACCCUCAAUCGUCAGCUGCAGGUGAGAACCAAUCAAUGGCUGAAAAUGCUCACUACGCACAUACGGUCACGUUGAUCCUGCAUCGCAACAACGCCCUGAGACAAGCCAAUGGCCUGAACACCAGGUCCUACCUGGCAGUCUCGCACCAAUCUUCAUUCUCGAGAUGGGAUGCUGGCAUCCAUGGACGCACGGUCGCCCAAGGCACCACCCGGCAGAAGAUGGUCAAGAGUGUCCUCCUGUUCUUCAGUGCUGCCUGCAACAAGCCACCUGGUGAUCUGAUUCUGAGGUGCGACGAAGCCGGUGCGCGGAGGGAGGUCGACUUCGGCGCCAGCCAUGUCAUGCAGGAGCGGAAGAGAAGGGAGAAGCUCAACGAGAGGUUCAUCAUCCUGCGGUCCCUGGUGCCCUUCGUCACCAAGGCACGCACACAAUCUUCAGCCAAAAAGCUUCAAUCUUUUUUGCAUGGUUGUCAGAUGGACAAGGCGUCGAUACUCGGCGACACGAUCGAGUACGUGAAGCAGCUGACGAAACGCAUCCAGGACCUUGAAUCAUCGACGGUCAGGGGGGCGGCGAUGCCGAAAGAGAAGCGUACGCUGCUGACGGGGAAGGAAGGGGCCAGCAGCAGCAGCGGUAGCAGCAGCAGUGCCCCUUUGGCCACGGACGUGCAGGUGUCCAUCAUCGAGAGCGACGCGCUGCUGGAGCUCCGGUGCCCCGACAGGCGCGGCCUGCUGGUGACCAUCAUGCAGGCGCUCCAGGAGCAGCUCCGGCUCGAGGUCACCUCCGUCCAGGCGUCGUCGGACCACGGCGUGCUGCUCGCCGAAAUGCGAGCCAAGGUACAGCUAUUCUUGGUUCGUUCAUCUGUCUGA
rnacentral:rRNA from 1 species